UUCAAAAAAGAAAAAAAAAAUCAAAAACAAAAACUUCUGAAAAUUAUUGGGCUAAUUUCGGUAGCAGUACAAUUGAACAGAUGCAUCUCAAAGUCGAAGUAGGAAAAUUUAGAAAGAGAUUUUGCAGAAAGAAAGAGAAGAUUCACAAUUAAUCUUAGGCAAUGGUGAAUGAGGAGAGAGAGAGAGGACUGGUGUAGGAACUUCAUUGGGUGAAGACAGUGAUUCCAUGCUCGACGAGUGUGGCGUGGCAGUUGAAGAUGGGGAUGCGGAGUUACGAUGUGAUUGAACAGUCGGCGGCGCGUGUGACGGAGUUUUGGCUGCUAUGGUAGGGGCCGACGAUGGUGUGUAAUCGGACAUAUGGACGGAGAACGAGACAUCAACAGCCUCAAAUCCUUGCUUGCACAAUUAAUUGAGGGAUAAUUUCUGUUCUUUUGGCCAAUUAAUUGAGGAGAGAGGGAGAAGAAUUUCUGAAGUUAAGAUUGGGUGAUGGGGUGGAAGAUGGUUUUCCUCAGAGGGGUUUUGAGGGGCACAAAGGCCAAAAUUACACAUUCAGGCACAUUUUUUACCAUUCUUCAAAAAACAAAAAGUAAAAAAACUCA